rnacentral:misc_RNA from 1 species
AGUCGUAACAAGGUUUCCGUAGGUGAACCUGCGGAAGGAUCAUUAAAAAUGUGGUACCAAUUAUUGGUACUAAUUAAUCAUCUACCUUGUGAAUUGUUUGUAUGAAUUUUUUAAAUGGUCUUUCCUAAGUUGAUUGUAGUAAAUACAAAAGAUAGGGAAUGAUUUUUUAAAAGACUUUUUUUAAUAAACUUUUGUAUUCAUUGUCUAAAAUUAUUUUAUAAUAUAAAACAACUUUUGACAUGGAUCUCUUGGUUCUCGCAACGAUGAAGAACGCAGCAAAAUGCGAUAAGUAGUGUGAAUUGCAGAAUACGUGAAUCAUCGAAUCUUCGAACGCAUAUUGCACUUUUUUAGUUACUAAAAAGUAUGUCGUUGAGUAUCAGUAAAUAUUCUCACAACAUAUUUGUUGUGUAUGAUGUUUUACAACGAUAAACAGUUUUCACUUUAAAUUCUUUUAAUUGAAUUUUACCAAUUCAUAAAUUAAAUUGGAUAAAAUUUUCUUUAACGAGGAAUACCUAAACAAUUUUAAAUUUUAUGGAUUAAUAAACAUUCAUCAAAGGAAUCUAAUUAUACAUAAAUAACUUGAUCUCAAAUCAGAUAAGAGUACCGCUGAACUUAAGCAUAUCAAUAAGCGGAGGAAAAGAAACUAACAAGGAUCCUUAGUAACGGCGAGUGAGCGGAAGAGCUCAAAUUUGAAAUCUUCAGGUUGACCUUGACGAAUGUAGUUUAUAGAAGUGUUUCUGUUGGAGUUUUGGUGAAAGUUCUUGGAAUAGGACAUCAUAGAGGUGAGAAUCCGUAUUUGACCAUGACUUUCCAGCUGUGUGAUACACUUUCAAAGAGUCGGAUUGUUGGGAAUGCAGUCCAAAUGGUGGUAAAUUUCAUCUAAAGCUAAUAUUGGCGAGAGACGAUAGCGAACAAGUACCGUGAGGAAGAUGAAAGAACUUUGAAAGAGAGUUAACAGUACGUGAAAUUGUCAAAAGGGAAGCGUUGACACAGUGUUGUUUCUCGAAAUCAAUUUAAUGGUCUUGUUUUAAGUUAUUGUGACUUUAUCAGCGCAUUUCUAUUUACUUGACUCAUUGAUGCACUUUUCGUUUAACAGUCAACAUCAAUUUCUUUGUGGUAAAAGUUUAAAGGAAGUGGCUUGGACUUCGUUCAAGUGUUAUAGCCUUUUUCUAUGCCAUCGGAGAGAUUGAGGUCUGCAGCGUAGAUCCUUCGGGUUAGAUACUUUGUGCUAAGUUAUAGUUUUUAUAGACAACUUGUUGACUAUAAUUAACCCUGUAAUUUACUCGCUUAGGCUAUUUUACCUACGCUUAGGAUGUGA